CAUCUUUUAGUCUUAGUAGAUGCCUGAUGCAGCUCAUAUAUUCUUUUAUGUUCAGGAAGAAGAGCUUGAACUUGGAUGCGAAGAUGGAAGACCAGAUCCUACUUAAGGUCGAAUGAGGGAAGUAGUUUUUGCAAAUAACGGACAGUGUGUUCUGCUUUUUAUGAAGAGAAGAUAUCUUGCAUUUAUCGGAAUCAUUACAACGUUUAAGCCUUUUUAUUUUGUGAGCUACUUGGAUUGAGAACGGAAGAUGCAAAUUGACGUUUUCUCAAAAUAAACUUGCAACUUCUUUAUAUUUUGUUCUUUUGCUUCCAUGAGGUUUAUUUAAAAAAAUAGCCUCUCUACCUGACAAGGGCAGUGGGGCAAACCAAAGAAGGGAAGAAUAGGACCACUAGAUGGAAAGAAGUUCUGGAUAUCAAACGACUUGGAUCCUAACGAUGAAGAUAAACUUGAGAUAACUAUCUCUAACUUCAUUUCAAGAACUCUGUGAUCUGUAUCGUUGUCUAUUAAGGAUGGUUUGGAAAGUAUUUUGGUACUUCGAUGGAAGUUUAUGAUGUUAAAACUGGUCUCUGUGUGUUACACAAAUGUAGGAGUUAUAGAGGAUAACUCGAGAUUUGUAGGCUGAUUCAGGAACCAGGGAAACUGAUACUAUUUCUUAAUAUGAUCCUUCAUUUUACAUGUUCUCUAUAUAUCAAUGAAAAUGGAAUACACUAAGAAUACAUUUGUAACUAACUUUUAACGGAAUUGAGAAUGAACAAUAAAAACUGUCUAACUAAUUGGCAGUUAUAACUAUUUUCCUGAACUAGUUGUUAACCUGGACUAAACUUCCUUUAAUCUCCAUUUCUAGCUAUGAGAUGUCUUUCAAUCGUUAUUUCGUGAAUCAGUGUGUCACAUUUUAGGGUGUUGUGCAUUGGGAUCCAUGUCAUGACUGGGAAAAGGCUUCCAGAUGCUAGCUUCGAUUGGUUUUGUAUAUUUUAUAAUUGAGAUGUGAUGAAAUUCAACAAAUUCUAUAGUCUUGCGGGAUUCAGAGAAACCAUCCAAUUAAAAAGAGGGGAUUUCAAUCGCCUUUUUCCUAGCAAAGCCAUAGCUCGCAAAAACAUGAAAUAAGCUGGCUAACUUCAGUAAAUACAUUUUGGAACUAAAAAUUUGCAAGCAAUAGACUUUAUAGCCGGGGUAAAAGUUCCUAACAUACAUGCACAAGCAAAUAUUAAAUAAAUAAAUAUGGCGAAACCAAACUCUCUAAAAAAACACCCCUUUCUCAAAAGGAUUCACGUUGAGGCCAUAAUUCAAACUUGCAAGCAAUAAAUAUAAUUGUUAGAACAAGAGGUCCAUACAUUAUGUCCGAAAAUAAACAUU